UGGGGAAUAUUGCACAAUGGGCGCAAGCCUGAUGCAGCCAUGCCGCGUGUAAUGAAGAAGGCCUUCGGGUUGUAAAGUACUUUCAGUCGUGAGGAAGGCGGCGUCGUUAAAUAGCGGCGUUGUUUGACGUAGCGACAGAAAGAAGCACCGGCUAACUCCGUGCAGCAGCCGCGGUAAUACGGAGGGUGCGAGCGUUAAUCGGAAUUACUGGGCGUAAAGCGCAUGCAGGUGGUUUGUUAAGUCAGAUGUGAAAGCCCGGGGCUCAACCUCGGAAUAGCAUUUGAAACUGGCAGACUAGAGUACUGUAGAGGGGGGUAGAAGUUUCAGGUGUAGCGGUGAAAUGCGUAGAGAUCUGAAGGAAUACCGGUGGCGAAGGCGGCCCCCUGGACAGAUACUGACACUCAGAUGCGAAAAGCGUGGGGAGCAAAACAGGAUUAGAUACCCUGGUAGUCCACGCCGUAAACGAUGUCUACUUGGAGGUUGUGGCCUUGAGCCGUGGC
rnacentral:rRNA from 1 species